AGCAGUAACCACUUGAUACACGGCAUAACUGAUGAGGGAGGAGAAGGGUGUCCCGGGAAUUUUGGCUAAGGAGGCAGAGCUAAACCGCUUUCUCUUAUAAAAAGUACCGCAGAGUCUCUACUGUCCAUUCCAGCAAUGUUGUUUCCAGUGCUGUUGUAGCUGUGUUGGUCCCAGAAUAUGAGAGAGACAAGAUGACCAAAAUGGAGGUUGAUUGAAGUAUUCCGAUCGCUCCACGGGUUUUGGAUCAUGUGAGCCUGGCCCUACAGCAUACUACAACAAAGUGACAACCGCCCUGAAGACCCAACACAGCUGAGAGACAGUGAUCUGAAUUCUAAUCCUUCUCUUGAACGAACAAAACCGUUAGCUAAAGUCCAGUGAUAGAUCUUUAUUGUUGAUGAUAUAUGAAGAAGAAAGAACCCAGUUCGACCUUCAGGUCCCAGAGUGAGUUUGCAAUCUCUUCCACAAAGCUCUUGACGUUGCUGGGGCCGAGCUCGAUGCAUGUCUUCUAAAGAGAUGAAAGAGAGGAAGGGACGUCUGCUGCUGCUGGAGAAAAUGUGACGUAGUUGUCUAGCAAGGCCCUGCUGGUGCCAGCCACAGGGGCUCUCCUGUAUCUCUGUGCUCACGGGUCCAA